CGGACGGGUGAGUAAUGUCUGGGAAACUGCCCGAUGGAGGGGGAUAACUACUGGAAACGGUAGCUAAUACCGCAUAACGUCGCAAGACCAAAGAGGGGGACCUUCGGGCCUCGCGCCAUCAGAUGAACCCAUAUGGGAUUAGCUAGUAGGUGAGGUAAUGGCUUACCUAGGCGACGAUCCCUAGCUGGUCUGAGAGGAUGACCAGCCACACUGGAACUGAGACACGGUCCAG
rnacentral:rRNA from 1 species